CGGGGUGAGUAACGCGUGGAUAACCUGCCUCACACAGGGGGAUAACAGUUAGAAAUGACUGCUAAUACCGCAUAAGCACACAGUACCGCAUGGUACAGUGUGAAAAACUCCGGUGGUGUGAGAUGGAUCCGCGUCUGAUUAGGUAGUUGGUGGGGUAACGGCCCACCAAGCCGACGAUCAGUAGCCGACCUGAGAGGGUGACCGGCCACAUUGGGACUGAGACACGGCCCAA
rnacentral:rRNA from 1 species